rnacentral:rRNA from 1 species
UUGGAGGGCAAGUCUGGUGCCAGCAGCCGCGGUAAUUCCAGCUCCAAUAGCGUAUAUUAAAGUUGUUGCAGUUAAAAAGCUCGUAGUUGAAUUUCGGAGUUUGUCGGUCGGUCGGGCUUCACUGUCCGCACUGGCCUGAUGGAUUCCUACCUUCUGAAUAACCAGCAUGCUAUUAAGUUAGUGCGUUGGGGAAGCAGAGCUAUUACCUUGAAAAAAUUAGAGUGCUCAAAGCAAGCUAGUGCUUGAAUAGAUUAGCAUGGAAUAAUAAAAUAGGACGGCAUGGUUCUAUUUUGUUGGUUUCUAGGAUCACCGUAAUGAUUAAUAGGGAUAGUUGGGGGCAUUAGUAUUCAAUUGUCAGAGGUGAAAUUCUUGGAUUUAUUGAAGACUAACUUCUGCGAAAGCAUUUGCCAAGGACGUUUUCAUUAAUCAAGAACGAAAGUUAGGGGAUCGAAGACGAUCAGAUACCGUCGUAGUCUUAACCAUAAACUAUGCCGACUAGGGAUCGGACGAUGUUAAUUUUUUAAUGACUCGUUCGGCGCCUUACGGGAAAC